CAGCUGUGUAAAAUCCAGACAGGGAAUUUCAAGCUGCUGACACUGUGGCAUUGAAUAUACAGAGCUCAGCAGCAAGACGCCAGCAGCAAUCUGAAACAACCUUCACCAGACCCCCUGUCUAAUAACUACAGAUUCUGAACGUCAUUGGAUGUGCAGCCUCACAAGAAAGAACUUGUAGCACUGCAGCUAAACUGUUCCUGGGCCUUAUAUUCCAGCCAGAGCUGAAGGCACAUUUGCAGAUAAUACCAUGUGAGUGUCAUCAAAAGCUUCCAGAGGGAAAGGACACAACAGUG
rnacentral:lncRNA from 1 species